rnacentral:misc_RNA from 1 species
GAUGAAGAACGUAGCGAAAUGCGAUAAGUAAUGUGAAUUGCAGAAUUCAGUGAAUCAUCGAAUCUUUGAACGCACAUUGCGCCCCCUGGUAUUCCGGGGGGCAUGCCUGUUCGAGCGUCAUUUCAACCCUCAAGCUCUGCUUGGUAUUGAGUCCAUGUCAGCAAUGGCAGGCUCCAAAAUCAGUGGCGGCGCCGCUGGGUCCUGAACGUAGUAAUAUCUCUUGUUACAGGUGCUCGGCGUGCUUCUGCCAAAACCCCAAUUUUUCUAUGGUUGACCUCGGAUCAGGUAGGGAUACCCGCUGAACUUAAGCAUAUCAAUAAGCGGAGGA